GACGAACGCUGGCGGCGUGCCUAAUACAUGCAAGUUGAGCGAUGAAGAUUGGUGCUUGCACCAAUUUGAAGAGCAGCGAACGGGUGAGUAACGCGUGGGGAAUCUGCCUUUGAGCGGGGGACAACAUUUGGAAACGAAUGCUAAUACCGCAUAACAACUUUAAACAUAAGUUUUAAGUUUGAAAGAUGCAAUUGCAUCACUCAAAGAUGAUCCCGCGUUGUAUUAGCUAGUUGGUUAGGUAAAGGCUCACCAAGGCGAUGAUACAUAGCCGACCUGAGAGGGUGAUCGGCCAAAAUGGGACUGAGAAAAGGCCCAAACUUCUACGGGAGGGAGCAGGAGGGGAUCUUCGGCAAUGGACGGAAGUCUGACCGAGGAACGGCGCGUGAGUGGAGAAGGUUUUCGGAUCGUAAAACUCUGUUGGUAGGGAAGAACGUUGGUUGGAGUGGAAAGCUCAUAAAGUGACGGUAACUACCCAGAAAGGGACGGCUAACUACGUG
rnacentral:rRNA from 1 species